UAAUAAUAUACAAAAAAUGCACAAAUGUUAACCUCAUAAUUUCCUCAUAUGCCGGUAUUUUUCCUUCCAGGAAACUUGUUCCCCUUCUUUAUGUGAAGAUGGAGUCCCUAGGGCUGUUUCGCCUUUUCCUGCUGUGAUGAAAACAGGGAGAGAUCUGCCAAAUCAGUACUGUAAAUCUCCAAGAGACCCUUCUCAAGAACAUUGCCAGCUGGGAUUGGAUAGGUGGGAUUAUGACAAUUUUGCAACAGCUCUGUUUCUGAUGAAGAAAAGUUCUCCCCUUUUGGUGGCCUGUAAGCACUACCUGAUCCUCUCACCUGAUGUUCAGCUUGUGCAUUUGUAACUGCUUUUCAGUGGUCAUAAAUCCUUUAUUAGAUAGUCAUUUAUAUACAGCUUAUAAAAAUAAGUAACAAAUGAAAUCAAAUAAAUGAA